ACGAACGCUGGCGGCAUGCCUAACACAUGCAAGUCGAACGAGACCUUCGGGUCUAGUGGCGCACGGGUGCGUAACGCGUGGGAAUCUGCCCUUGGGUUUGGAAUAACAGUUAGAAAUGACUGCUAAUACCAAAUGAUGUCGCAAGACCAAAGAUUUAUCGCCCAAGGAUGAGCCCGCGUAGGAUUAGCUAGUUGGUGAGGUAAAGGCUCACCAAGGCGACGAUCCUUAGCUGGUCUGAGAGGAUGAUCAGCCACACUGGGACUGAGACACGGCCCAGACUCCUACGGGAGGCAGCAGUGGGGAAUAUUGGACAAUGGGCGAAAGCCUGAUCCAGCAAUGCCGCGUGAGUGAUGAAGGCCUUAGGGUUGUAAAGCUCUUUUACCCGGGAUGAUAAUGACAGUACCGGGAGAAUAAGCCCCGGCUAACUCCAU
rnacentral:rRNA from 1 species